UCGAGCCCCGCGUCCCCUUCUCCAUGCCGCCUCCCCCCUCCGCGUUUCUCCUCCUGCGUAGGAUCCAUGUCAGAGGCUGGCUCGAGGCGGGGGAGCGCUGCCUCCCCCCCUCCGCAUUUCUCCUCCCGCGUACGAUCCAUGGCGGCGGCUGGCUCGAGGCGGGGGAGCGGCGGAUGCGGCGGCGUCGGCACGAGAGGAGCGGUGAUGGUGGCGGCGCCGAGCUGCAAAGAGGCGCCGCUUGGGGAGUGGCUGCUUCGGGCCUGAUCUGGGGAGGGUACGAGGCAGGGACGAGGCAGGGAAGGACGCCGUCAUCGCCGUCGUAGGUCUUCCUUCUGUUCCUUUUGUUUCCUCUCUAAUUCAUCCUCUUCCCAUCCCUCUUGCUCGCCGGCGGCUGACUCCCCUGCCUCCUCACGUCGCCCUCAAGUCGGAGGCAACGAAGACAGCGUGCAGGCAAGCUCAAGCUGCUGAAACGUGAGCUGAGCGUCUGGCGAAGGGGGAUGGCAGAGGUAUCGUGGACAAGGACGCCAUGGCUGCCUUUGCCGAGAGCGUCUGCAUCUUCAUCCAGUGCCUCUGUCAUGUACUGCCUCCUGCCAUGGAUCUACUUGUUUUUCCUUGCCUCCACUUUUGCUCUGAUUCUUAGGAGUAAACCUAAUUGAUUUGGUGUAUUAGGUUAAUUAGGUUGACUGUUUCUUUUUGGGUAAUCUGGGUGCGAAUUUGAUGCUACCGUUACAUGUUUGUGGGUUUCCUGGGAGGAGCAAAUAGUAGUUGUUAAUUUAUUGGCACCGUGUUAGCACUGCUGGAGAUUAGUUUAAUUUAUUGGCUCAAAUUCUUUCAUGUACUAAAAUAGUAUAAGUGCUUUUGUGUUAUGGUAUUGAAUGGUUUACCAUAAGGUAGAGGGCUAAUUUUGCUUGCUGAAAUGAACUCAGCUGGUGACCUUGCUCUUGGAGAUUACACCACAACGACCAAAAAGAUUGUUGAGCAACAUUCUUAUUUUAUAAUUGGAUUUAUAUCCGUAAAUCUUGCAUCUUGAUUGUUCCAGCUAUGCUUAUGGCAAUAGCUGAAAGUCAUUGGUGUUGGGUUGCUCAUCAUUGAGAAGUGUGUUUGUUCAUGGAUGGUUGUGUGAUGGAGGAAGAAUCUGGUAAUUUGGAGUGUGCACUGAGCUAUUGGAAGUAAUUAUGCUCUUUUUACCAUAAGCAGAAUUUAAAUGAUGGAGUCCUGCUGCUGAAGGACGUGAACAGAAAGUCCUAUCGCUGGAUGCUUACUGUUCGAAUUGCAAGGAUUUGGAAAUACACGAGUACGAACUUUAUUGAAUCAGAACACUACAGCCAUAACAUGUCUCUCUCUGCAGCAAAACGACAUAUACCCGUAUGAUGACGUGUCCGAUCCAGUCUACAGUGGACUAUCUGGUGAAGGUUCUGUAAUAUUUGCUUGCAGAUCGAACAGACAAACAAGUAUUACUGGAACAUCGAUGGUGAUAUCUGCUAUUGGGUCUGUCUGAUAUUCAUUGCUUCAUACCACCUAUAUAAUGUAUCCCUUCCCAUCUACUUCCUUUGUGUAUCACAUUGUAACUAAACAUCUAUGUACCAAUAGUAAAGAGUUGGGUGUUUGAAUAUUCUCACAAUACUCCCUCUCGUCUAGGCUAAUUUUUUUUAAUAUUGCUUUUUUUAUUCUUUUUGAAAAAUAUUGCGUUUUUUUCAAAAUUUACAAAAAUGUGAGUGUCUCGGCCUAGCCAAGACCAAUUAGGUCCCGUCGGCCCUGACUAGGCCGAUUAGCCCUUAUCUGUGUUGGCUAGGCCGACAGCCCUGUUGGCAGUGCAUUUGGCAUCCUAUCGGCCUUGGCUAGGCCGAUUAGUACUAAUUGGCACUAAUCGGCCUAGCCAAGGCCGAUAGGUGCAUGGAUUUUUUCCCACGUCCUAUCUUUCCGCCUCCAUUUCCCGCCAUAUCUUUCCCCGUCCAUUUCGCGCCAUUUUUCUCGUCAUUUCUUUCCCGCCUUGUUUUUCUGCCAUCGAGUCUGUAAAAGGAGGCACUAGGCUCUUCCUUCAUUAUCCAGGCACACUUGAGAACACAGACGCUCUAGUCAUUAUGAGUUUGCCUUGCUCAGAUCAAAGCAUUAGGCCUAGUAAAAUGAAGAGUAUGAGUUUGCCUCGGGGGGUGGAAGUAGUUUGUUGUUGGUGCGGUGAUCUCUGUAAGGUGAAGGAGGUGACAUUUUUCAGUUUGGUUGGGCAUGAAAUUUUUCAUUUGCGUCAAUUACGAGGAAGAUCCACCCACUUCUAUUUCUCCAUACAUCAGGCCUCCGGUAUGCUCAAGUCAUCCCGAAUAAAUAUGUUGUUGAUAUUAUUGUUUACUUGAUAUUUAUAUUUAUCUUUUUUUGGUAGUCACCUCCUCCACUGUGCAUGUACUCUCGUUGAAUUGACACGCAAUAGCCAGACUGGGCGUUGACCGAGAUUCGUGAAAGAGGUCGUAUUGCAUGGGCUAGUUUGGACUUGGAAGAGCGCCGCGCGAAGGCCGAAGCAGAGGAGAAGAGAGAGCAGAGGGCUAUGAUUGAUGUGAUGUUGAAGCAAAACCAAGAAGAGAAAAUUCGACUGGCAGAGGUUUAUAGACAGCGAGAGGAGGCCCGUAAUGCUGAGAGGCGGAGAAAAAAAAAGGGGCUCGCGCGGCCAAGGAAGCAGAAGAAGCUGGUGAUGGAAAAGAAAAAUAUCCACGUUGAAGAUUUAUUUUAUUGUAUCCUAAAAUUGUUGAAUACUUUCGGCAAGUUGUAUCUUAAUUUCAGCAAGUUUUAUCCACGUUUGA